UACGGAGGAUCCAAGCGUUAUCCGGAUUUAUUGGGUUUAAAGGGUGCGUAGGCGGCCUGUUAAGUCAGGGGUGAAAUACGGCAGCUCAACUGUCGAGGUGCCAUUGAUACUGUAGGACUUGAGUACAGACGAGGUAGGCGGAAUUGACGGUGUAGCGGUGAAAUGCUUAGAUAUCGUCAAGAACACCGAUAGCGAAGGCAGCUUACUAGGCUGUAACUGACGCUGAGGCACGAAAGUGUGGGGAUUAAACAGG
rnacentral:rRNA from 1 species